rnacentral:rRNA from 1 species
GGGCGGGACACGUGUUAUCCUGUCUGAAUAUGGGGGGACCAUCCUCCAAGGCUAAAUACUCCUGACUGACCGAUAGUGAACCAGUACCGUGAGGGAAAGGCGAAAAGAACCCCUGUGAGGGGAGUGAAAUAGAACCUGAAACCGUGUACGUACAAGCAGUAGGAGCACCUUCGUGGUGUGACUGCGUACCUUUUGUAUAAUGGGUCAGCGACUUAUAUUCAGUGGCAAGGUUAACCAUCUAGGGGAGCCGUAGGGAAACCGAGUCUUAACUGGGCGCCAUAGUCUCUGGAUAUAGACCCGAAACCGAGUGAUCUAGCCAUGGGCAGGUUGAAGGUUGAGUAACAUCAACUGGAGGACCGAACCGACUAAUGUUGAAAAAUUAGCGGAUGACUUGUGGCUAGGGGUGAAAGGCCAAUCAAACUCGGAGAUAGCUGGUUCUCCCCGAAAGCUAUUUAGGUAGCGCCUCGGACGAAUACUACUGGGGGUAGAGCACUGUUAAGGCUAGGGGGUCAUCCCGACUUACCAACCCUUUGCAAACUCCGAAUACCAGUAAGUACUAUCCGGGAGACACACGGCGGGUGCUAACGUCCGUCGUGGAGAGGGAAACAACCCAGACCGCCAGCUAAGGUCCCAAAUUACAGCUAAGUGGGAAACGAUGUGGGAAGGCUUAGACAGCUAGGAUGUUGGCUUAGAAGCAGCCAUCAUUUAAAGAAAGCGUAAUAGCUCACUAGUCGAGUCGGCCUGCGCGGAAGAUGUAACGGGGCUAAGUU